CCUACGGGAGGCAGCAGUGAGGAAUAUUGGUCAAUGGCCGAGAGGCUGAACCAGCCAAGUCGCGUGAGGGAAGACGGCCCUACGGGUUGUAAACCUCUUUUGUCGGGGAGCAAAGCGAACCACGUGUGGUUCAUUGAGAGUACCCGAAGAAAAAGCAUCGGCUAACUCCGUGCCAGCAGCCGCGGUAAUACGUAGGGGGCAAGCGUUAUCCGGAUUUACUGGGUGUAAAGGGAGCGUAGACGGAACGGCAAGUCAGACGUGAAAUCCCAAGGCUCAACCCUGGGACUGCGUUUGAAACUGGCAGACUAGAGUGCGGGAGAGGUAAGAGGAAUGCGUGGUGUAGCGGUGAAAUGCAUAGAUAUUAGGAGGAACACCAGUUGCGAAGGCGUCUUACUGGAGCGCAACUGACGCUGAGGCUCGAAAGUGUGGGGAGCAAACAGGAUUAGAUACCCUAGUAGUC
rnacentral:rRNA from 1 species